rnacentral:rRNA from 1 species
AUUGAACGCUGGCGGAAUGCUUUACACAUGCAAGUCGAACGGCAGCACGGACUUCGGUCUGGUGGCGAGUGGCGAACGGGUGAGUAAUGUAUCGGAACGUGCCCAGUCGUGGGGAUAACGUAGUGAAAAUUACGCUAAUACCGCAUACGAUCUAUGGAUGAAAGCGGGGGAUCGCAAGACCUCGCGCGAUUGGAGCGGCCGAUAUCAGAUUAGGUAGUUGGUGGGGUAAAGGCCCACCAAGCCAACGAUCUGUAGUUGGUCUGAGAGGACGACCAGCCACACUGGAACUGAGACAGGGUCCAGACUCCUACGGGAGGAAGCAGGGGGGAAUUUUGGACAAUGGGCGAAAGCCUGAUCCAGCCAUUCCGCGUGAAGGAUGAAGGCCCUCGGUUUGUAAACUGCUUUUGUACAGAACGAAAAGGUUUCUACUAAUAAUAGGAGCUCAGGACGGUACUGUAAGAAUAAGCACCGGCUAACUACGUGCCAGCCGCCGCCGUAA